rnacentral:rRNA from 1 species
AUGCGGGCUCCGGCGAACCUCCUGCACCGCAGCACGGCCGUCACAGCCGGCCCCAGCGAGCCGUCUCCGUCUCCUUCCUCGCUGCCGCCGCCUCAUCCGGAGCAGCAGCAGACGGCGCCGGUCAUGGCGAUGGACUCGGACAUGGUGGUGAUACUGGCGUCGCUGCUGUGUGCGCUAGUCUGUGUCCUCGGCCUCGGCCUCGUCUCCCGGUGCGUGUGUGGGCGACGACGCUCUAACUCUACUUCAUCCUCCGUGCCUCUUCCCCCGAAAGGCCUCAAGAAGAAGGCCAUCGACGCGCUCCCCACCGUCUCCUUCACCGUGGCCGGUGCCUCACCGCAGUCAUCGUCAUCAGCGGCGGCAUGCUCGUCGUCAUUGGAGUGCGCGAUAUGCCUUGCAGAGUUUACGGACGGAGAGAGCGUGCGCGUGCUCCCGCGCUGCGGCCACAACUUCCACAUGACCUGCGUCGACGCCUGGCUUCGGACGUGCGCCACCUGCCCCUCCUGCCGCGCCCCCAUCGUUGUCACACCGGCUCAGCCGCCGGUGGGGCCAACGGUGGUCGUGGUGGUGGCAACGGCGAACAACAGGUGCAGGAGGUGCGGCGAGCUGGAAGCGCCGGCUGGUGGUGCGGAUAGCACGUUCUUGCCUUAG